rnacentral:rRNA from 1 species
UACGUAGGGUGCAAGCGUUGUCCGGAAUUAUUGGGCGUAAAGAGCUCGUAGGCGGUUUGUCGCGUCUGCUGUGAAAACUCGGGGCUUAACCCCGGGCCUGCAGUCGAUACGGGCAGACUAGAGUGCGGUAGGGGAGACUGGAAUUCCUGGUGUAGCGGUGAAAUGCGCAGAUAUCAGGAGGAACACCGGUGGCGAAGGCGGGUCUCUGGGCCGUAACUGACGCUGAGGAGCGAAAGCGUGGGGAGCGAACAGG